rnacentral:rRNA from 1 species
AGAUAAGUGCUGAAAGCAUCUAAGCACGAAACUUGCCCCGAGAUGAGUUCUCCCUGAGACUUUAGGUCUCCUGAAGGAACGUUGAAGACGACGACGUUGAUAGGCCGGGUGUGUAAGCGCAGCGAUGCGUUGAGCUAACCGGUACUAAUGAACCGUGAGGCUUAACCUUACAACGCCGAAGCUGUU